AAAGCGGCUCAGCUCAGGCGUUCAAAGCGGCGUUUCCCCUUUAAAUCCGUCCAGCUGAGCGCAGUCAGGAAGUAUCGCAGGGAGCGGAGCAGACUUCGUCAUCAACACAGUCACGUUUGUUUAUUUUUGAUGCAUCUUGUUCUGAUCUAGAUCGUCGGGUUUCCUGAAUCCGGUGGAAACGGUUGUCGGUCCACACCCUAAGCACCAGUUUGAGGUUGACGGCGUGAUAUACCAGGACCAGCAUGGCCGACGGCCCAGAGGCGCAGGCUGAUGUUGACGAUCCGCCCAGUAUCAAUUUCCCCCCGCUCAUCACUGUUUCUGAUCUGCCCAGUGCUACUGCUGCAGGCCGGAACCUGAAGGAAUGGCUUCAGGAGCAGUUCUGCGACAAACCUCUAGAGCAGGAUGACAUGCGGCUCCACAAUGCAGCCUACGUUGGAGAUUUGGACACCCUGAGGAACCUGCUGCAGGAAGACAGCUUCAAACGACGUAUCAAUGAGAAGUCUGUGUGGUGUUGUGGCUGUCUGCCCUGCACCCCUCUGCGGAUCGCAGCCACAGCGGGACACGCCGCCUGCGUGGCCUAUCUGAUCGCCCAGGGAGCCGAGGUGGACCUAGUUGAUGUCAAAGGCCAAACGGCCCUCUACGUAGCUGUGGUUAACGGUCACCUGGACUGCGUCCGGAUCCUCCUCGAAGCCGGAGCAGAUCCCAACGGAAGCCGACACCACCGCAGCACCCCGCUUUACCAUGCUGCACGGGUGGGAAGGCUGGACAUACUUCAGGAGCUCAUCAGGUUCAAUGCCGAUGUAGACAUGGACCACCAGCUGGGUCCCCGGCUACUCCUAAGUGCCCGCACCCUCAACACAUUGGUGGUGUGUCCUCUCUACAUCAGCGCUGCCUACCACCACCUCCACUGUUUCCAGCUGCUGCUCCAGGCCGGCGCGCAGCCCGACUUCAACUACACUGGGCCUGUCUGCCACGAGGCUCUGACCCGCGGCCUGGCUUCCUGCCUGCUGGAUGCGGUGCUGCGUCACGGAUGUGAGGUGGCCUUCAUCCACCUGCUGCUGGACCACGGGGCCAACCCAGCUCUUGUGCCCUGGGAUGAGUCAGAGCUGGAGGCUCCUAACCGAAGGAAGGUGGAUCCUGAGGCACUCAGGGUCUUCCUGGAGGCCAGGAGAUGCCCUCGUAGGCUGACACACCUGUGUCGCAUCAGGAUCCGCAGAACGAUGGGCAAAGGUCGUCUAAACCACAUACCCUCAUUACCUCUACCAGAACCCAUCAAGAACUUCCUGCUUCACCAAGACUGACAACCAUCCACCUUCUCGUCUUCUACAGAGCUCAUCCAACCCGAUCCAAAAAAACCUCAGUCAAUCUCAAAGACAAGCCACACGUCGAUUAAAACUACAUGGGAGGGCUUCCACACCACCAGAAAGAAGAGAGAUUCUUCAAAAACUUUGUGAGAAAAAUGACAAAAGGGAACCUGAUGUUUCUGGGAUCUCUCUCGGCCUGCAAGAUAUUUGCUGUGACAAAAUGACACUACACUACACAAAAAUGUCAAUGAUGAAGCUUCAAAACUCAACGAGGAUCUCUUAAAGAUAUAAACAGGCCAACUCAUCACCUCGCCAGGACUUGACCUGAGCAUCCCUCACCCCUUUGCUCCUCUCCUCUCCUCCUCUCCUAGCAUCUCAUCCUCAGGCCUAAUUCAAAGCAUCUUGUGGGGCGACUGCAGUGGAGAGAAGGAUGUGGCUGAGGCAAAUAAAAGAAUCAUAACAACAGGAUCAAAGCAGUCCUGCAAAUCUAUUCCUUCUGGACAUGGCGGCUUUUGCAUGAAACAAAGACAGUCAAAGACAAGACAGACAGGGCGAUGCACAGAAAGGGAAGGAAGGGAUCAAAGAAAAGAAAGGAGGAUCGGAGGGGAAGAAAGGCUGAGUCCUGAACUCUGUAUCUCAUGGAGAGGGUCAUCGUCAGCGCGUGCUGCUGCAUGAUUGAUGCCCUGCUCGGAUAUUCCAGCUUUCUUUAUGUGUGCUCUCACUCCUCUGAAUGUUGAUCACACCCACCAUCUUUCUGUGCUUUUCAAUCAAACAGCUGUGUCAAGAUUUAUCCAUGACUCUGACCAGUCACACGGCCUUUUAUAUUCCUAACUUAAUACUUCACAUGUCAGUUUACUGCUUUCCUGAUUGAUGGAAAGCUGAAAAUAAGAGAAAACAAAGAAAACCAGCUGGCCUCAAACAUUCAAAAUAUGUCGCUACGCCAAAUCUUGAACAUUUAAUGUUAGUGCAACGGGUUUAUUUUCAUGCUUGUAUCAUCGUAGAUGCAUGAGUACGGUUCUGCUGAGGAUUGAUGAGCUGUCGCAAUCUUACAAUUAUACAUGCAGUGUUUUGGUCUGUUUUUUAAAUAGCAGCAACAUUAAAUUUAGAUUCUCUAAAUGGCUUUUGCUCCGUGGACACAUUCUUAUGUGUCUGUGCAUGUUCAGAUAUAUGAGAUGUAUAUGCUCUGUAUCUGCAAGAAGUUGUAUGACACUAGGUAAUUAGCUUGAAAUUGUU